rnacentral:rRNA from 1 species
GCAAGCCCACUCCUGAGUGCAGGACAUGACAGUCGUUCAGGAUAGAUAAACUUCUUGUGUAGUGGAACGAAAUGACUUUUUUCUAUAUACUGUGGGUUAAUGUACGGUACUGUAAUGAAUAAGCACGGAUCUAACUACGUGCAAGCAGCGGCAGUAAUACGUAGUGUGCGAGCGUUAAUAAGAAUUAUCUGGGAGUAAAGCGUGCGCAGGCGGUGAUGUAAGACAGAUGUGAACUCCCCUGACUCAACGUGGGACAUGCAUCUGUGUGUCCAUGGUUGGAGUGAGGCAGAAGGGGAUAGAAUUCCGCGUGUAGCAGCAAAAUGCGUAGAUAUGCGGAGGAUACAUCGAUGGAGAAGGCAAUCCCAUGCACCUGUACUGACGGUCAUGCACGAAAGGGCGGGGAGCAAACAGGAUUAGAUACCAUGGUAGUCCCCGCCAUUACAGAUGUCAAAUGGUGGAUGGGUCUUGACUGACUCAGUCACGAAGCUAACGAGUGAAGUUGACCGCCUGGGGAGUACGGCCGCAAGGUUGAAACUCAAAGAAAUUGACGGGGACCCGCACAAGCGGUGGAUGAUGUGGUUUAUUUGGAUGCAACGCGAAAAACCUUACCCACCUUUGACAUGUACGGAAUUUACCAGAGAUGGUUUAGUGCUCGAAAGAGAGCAUCAACACAGGUGCUGCAUGGCAGUCGUCAGCUCGUGUCGUGAGAUGUUGGGUUAAGUCCAGCAACGAGCGCAACCCUUGUCAUUAGUUGCUACAUUCAGUUGGGCACUUUAAGGAGACUGCCGGUGACAAACCGGAGGAAGGUGGGGAGGAGGUCAAGUCCUCAUGGCCUUUAUAGCUGGGGCUACACACGUCAUCCAAUGGUUGGUACAAAGGGUUGCCAACCCGCGAGGGGGAGCUAAUCCCAUAAAACCAGUCGUAGUCCGGAUCGCAGUAUGCAACUCGACUGCUUGAAGUCGGAAUCGUUAGUUAUCUUGGAUCAGAAUGUCACGGUGAAUACGUUCCCGGGUUUUGUACACACCGCCCGUCACACCAGGGAGCGGGUUCGCCAGAAGUAGUUAGCUUACCGCAAGGAGAGCUACCACGAAGCUC